rnacentral:rRNA from 1 species
AUUGAACGCUGGCGGCAUGCCUUACACAUGCAAGUCGAACGGCAGCACGGGGGCAACCCUGGUGGCGAGUGGCGAACGGGUGAGUAAUGCAUCGGAACGUGCCCAGUAGUGGGGGAUAACCAGUCGAAAGGCUGGCUAAUACCGCAUACGACCUACGGGUGAAAGCGGGGGACCGUAAGGCCUCGCGCUAUUGGAGCGGCCGAUGUCUGAUUAGCUAGUUGGCGGGGUAAGAGCCCACCAAGGCGACGAUCAGUAGCUGGUCUGAGAGGACGCCCAGCCACACUGUGACUGAGACACGGCCCAGACUCCUACGGGAGGCAGCAGUGGGGAAUUUUGGACAAUGGGCGCAAGCCUGAUCCAGCCAUGCCGCGUGCGGGAAGAAGGCCUUCGGGUUGUAAACCGCUUUUGGCAGGAACGAAACGGCGCAAGCCAAUACCUGGGGCUCAUGACGGUACCGUAAGAAUAAGCACCGGCUAACUACGUGCCAGCCGCCGCAGUAACAC